AAGGUAGAGGUCGCGCAGUAGAUGAGUAGUCUGUCAGAUAUGGAUCGGCAUAGGAGAAGACAGGGGAAAGGCGAAGCGCCGAAAGCAGGGCUUACCGGUAAGGGGUCUGCUUGGGCAUAUGGUGAAAAACCAUAUGACUGUCAUCUGUGAUGAAUGGAAUCUGGGAUGGAGAAAUCGUGUUUCGUCCGAUGCAGAUGGAGGGCUACUUA
rnacentral:ncRNA from 1 species